rnacentral:rRNA from 1 species
UACGUAGGUGGCAAGCGUUGUCCGGAUUUAUUGGGUUUAAAGGGUGCGUAGGCGGCUGUUUAAGUCAGUGGUGAAAGCCGAUCGCUUAACGAUCGAACUGCCAUUGAUACUGAAUAGCUUGAGUACAGAUGAGGUAGGCGGAAUUGACAGUGUAGCGGUGAAAUGCAUAGAUAUUGUCAAGAACACCGAUUGCGAAGGCAGCUAACGAAGCUGUAACUGACGCUGAGGCUCGAAAGUGCGGGGAUCAAACAGG